rnacentral:rRNA from 1 species
AUGCAUAGUUUUACUACAAAUACGAAGCUGACCUAAUUUGUCUAAUCUGAAAAGAUAAGCCAUUUCAGACCUGUUUAAUACCUGGAUGGGAGAUCACCAGGAAACAGCAGGGCUGUUCAUU